UACGAAGGGGGCUAGCGUUGUUCGGAAUUACUGGGCGUAAAGCGCACGUAGGCGGAUAUUUAAGUCAGGGGUGAAAUCCCAGAGCUCAACUCUGGAACUGCCUUUGAUACUGGGUAUCUUGAGUAUGGAAGAGGUAAGUGGAAUUCCGAGUGUAGAGGUGAAAUUCGUAGAUAUUCGGAGGAACACCAGUGGCGAAGGCGACUAACUGGACAGGUAUUGACGCUGAGGUGCGAAAGCGUGGGGAGCAAACAGG
rnacentral:rRNA from 1 species